rnacentral:rRNA from 1 species
AGAGGGAGCCUGAGAAACGGCUACCACAUCCAAGGAAGGCAGCAGGCACGCAAAUUACCCACUCCCGGCACGGGGAGGUAGUGACAAAAAAUAACGAUUACGGGACUCUUAUGAGGCCCCGUAAUCGGAAUGAGUACACUUUAAAUCCUUUAACAAGGAUCCAUUGGAGGGCAAGUCUGGUGCCAGCAGCCGCGGUAAUUCCAGCUCCAAUAGCGUAUAUAAAGUUGUUGCGGUUAAAAAGCUCGUAGUUGGUUCUGCGUGCUACGCUGUCGGUUCGCCGCCUGCCGGUGUAACUGGCAUGCCGUGGCAUGUCCUGUCGGUGGUGUUCGGGAGCUUCGUCUAGGUGACUCCUCCGGACCGCAAGGGACGGUUGGUUGUUCAACCGGGAGCCUCCCCGUUCGCCUACUCUAUCCUACCUAGGUGCUCUUCACCGAGUGUCGAGGUAGGCCGACACGUUUACUUUGAACAAAUUAGAGUGCUCAAAGCAGGCCUGAAAUUUCUGCCUGAAUAGUGGUGCAUGGAAUAAUAAAACAGGACCUCGGUUUUAUUUUGUUGGUUCUUAGGAACACGAGGUAA